rnacentral:rRNA from 1 species
GACGAACGCUGGCGGCGUGCCUAAUACAUACAAGUAGAACGCACAGUUUAUACCGUAGCUUGCUACACCAUAGACUGUGAGUUGCGAACGGGUGAGUAACGCGUAGGUAACCUGCCUGGUAGCGGGGGAUAACUAUUGGAAACGAUAGCUAAUACCGCAUAAUAUUAAUUAUUGCAUGAUAAUUAAUUGAAAGGUGCAAUGGCACCACUACCAGAUGGACCUGCGUUGUAUUAGCUAGUAGGUGAGGUAACGGCUCACCUAGGCGACGAUACAUAGCCGACCUGAGAGGGUGAUCGGCCACACUGGGACUGAGACACGGCCCAGACUCCUACGGGAGGCAGCAGUAGGGAAUCUUCGGCAAUGGACGAAAGUCUGACCGAGCAACGCCGCGUGAGUGAAGAAGGGUUUCGGAUCGUAAAGCUCUGUUGUAAGAGAAGAACGGGUGUGAGAGUGGAAAGUUCACACUGUGACGGUAGCUUACCAGAAAGGGACGGCUAACUACGUG